rnacentral:tRNA from 1 species
CAGGUGUUAGUUUAUUAAAAUAUUGGUUUUGGGGACCAGGGAUGGAAAAUUAUUUCUACACUUGA